UGGCCGCAAUUUCACUGGCACUGCUGCCAGCGGCGUCUUCUUAUUUGGCUCCCCGAGCCUGGUUCCAGAAGGACCGCAUAGCCACCACCCGCAGCGCCCUCGUCUACUCUGGCCCCGACGUCCCCGACAUGGUUGAACUUACGGCAUGUGCACGUAUAAUGGCUACGCAAGGACGAGCUCUCUUCCCUGUCAUUUCUUACGCCACUAAUGACUUUGAUAACGAACUUUUAAUCAUUUUCAGAUAUGGCCAACAAACCAUGAAGUUCAACUGCUGCGAUGGCAACGCAACGGUUGAGUUUCCCUUUAAAUUCUACCUCUACAAAUGGUACUCAUUUUGCUUAACUGUGCACCUGUGGAACGCAACUUAUGAACUUUGGCACAAUGGAGAGAUUAAGUCAGGGUUUCUGAAUGUUGACCCCCGGAGCAACCGUUCAGCCAUCAUCAUGCGAGGCCGAGGAACUCUAAUGGUGGGGCAAGAACAAGACGUGCAGGGUGGAGGGUUCAAUGAGG
rnacentral:lncRNA from 1 species